ACAGCAGUCGCCGCGGGAAUACGUAGGGUGCAAGCGUUGUCCGGAAUUAUUGGGCGUAAAGAGCUCGUAGGCGGUUUGUCGCGUCUGCUGUGAAAUCCCGAGGCUCAACCUCGGGCUUGCAGUGGGUACGGGCAGACUAGAGUGCGGUAGGGGAGAUUGGAAUUCCUGGUGUAGCGGUGGAAUGCGCAGAUAUCAGGAGGAACACCGAUGGCGAAGGCAGAUCUCUGGGCCGUAACUGACGCUGAGGAGCGAAAGCGUGGGGAGCGAACAGGAUUAGAGACCCGAGUAGUCCCUGUCUCUUAUAC
rnacentral:rRNA from 1 species